rnacentral:tRNA from 1 species
CAUUAAGUGGCUGAAAUCUUUAAGCAUUGGUCUCUUAAACCAACCUAUAGUAAUUUAUAACUACUCUUAAUGG